UCAGUUUGAAGUGUGCCACAGGACUGCACUGGGUUUUAAAGGGAUGUCAUAAAGGAGAUAGCUUUUAUUUUGCUGUACACUGAAGGUUGUGAAUUAGGAAAAUACCACCAGAGAAACAUUGCAGGUUUUGGAAACUACACCAGGACCACAGCUCUGCCCUGGAAUUUCAUUACAGUCUCCCGUGUACCUGGCAAGCAAUGGAGUAAAUCUGACCUUGAUAUUCAAAAUCAUGGGUUUUUUUAUUAACCUGACCUGUGUUACAGUGUCCACCCUUUGGGUACACAGGAGAAACCCCUCCAGCUGCACUCCAUACCCUGGGCAGCACCUGAAUUUCUGGUUAAAGACACGCAGAUGGGUCUUUGGAAAUCAUAAACUUUCUAAAGAGAUAGGGAAGAAGUACACAGGAACAAGGUCUUCAACUCCACUGGGACAUGAGGAACAUCUUUGUCUCUUCACAGAUCUGUCCCUUAGGAACUGCAGUCAAAUUCACUUGAACAAACAAAAUGUUUCCUUUUAACUGGCUGCUGUUUGUUAACUCAUGAAAGAGAAGAUGCUUGUUGUUCCCUUUAUUUUUUUUUUUUUGCUUUUGAUUUGCAUUGCAAGGUGAGUUUGUAAACGGAACUAAUAGAAAAAUCAAGGUUAAUGCUGCCUGAUCAAAUAAGAAUCAUGAAGUUUGCCCCUUUGCAGAGCAAUGGAUGAUAUCUGUGGUACUUUUUAUGAUGCUAAUAUGACACCAAGGUGAAAUGUGAACCUGGAACAUAAUGAAAUCAAGAGUUUAUGAUGAAUCAGUGAGCAAAAAGCAUUAUUUGGGUACACUAUUCUAGGAAACUCUCAAAAAACCCAUUCACUUUUUAUACAAUUCACUGAGGCUCAUCCAGUGAACCAAACACAGAAAUUGCCACAGGAUUUGAUGCAGUGGUGCCCCAUUCUUCAAAAAUAAAUUAUUCAAAAAUUCUGCA
rnacentral:lncRNA from 1 species